GAGGAGGUGGCACCCAAGGAGGAGUACCCGCACCCUGCCGUGCCGGAGCUGCCAAAGCCCGAGCUGCCGCCGCACCCCACGGUGCCGGAGCUGCCGAAGCCCGAGCUGCCGGAGCACCCCGCCGUACCCGAGCUGCCGAAGCCUGAGCUGCCACCUCAUCCCACCGUGCCUGAGCUGCCGAAGCCUGAGGUGCCUGCGCACCCCGAAGUGCCGGAGUUGCCGAAGCCCGAGCUGCCUCCUCACCCCGCCGUUCCAGAGCUGCCGAAGCCAGAGGUGCCAGAGCACCCCGCCGUGCCGGAGCUGCCGAAGCCUGAGCUGCCUCCUCACCCCACGGUGCCAGAGCUACCAAAGCCGGAGCUGCCCCACCCGGACGUGCCGGAGGUACCAGAGCAUGAGCUGCCGCCGAAACCCGAGAGCCACUACCCAGAGCCAGAGACCAAGCCAUGAUCGGACUGCAUCACUGUCGCCCCAGUAAUAAAAACGUUAUGUGCUUGUGUAUGAUGGUGUGAUAUUUUUAUGUUUGAAUGUGAUCUUGUUGGUCACAAGCUAGCUUUAGGAUUGUUACUUUUCAAUGUUGUAUGUUUGGUGAUGUACGUAUAUAUUGUCCUUUAUUAUGUACUAUAUAUAUACAGAGUAUGUGUAUGAGAUGUGUUUCAUUUAUCUUGGAGUAAU
rnacentral:lncRNA from 1 species